CUCAUCCACACCUCCAGAUGGCAGUAAUGUCUCGCUUUUCCUACUGAUAUUCCUCGAAGCAGAAAGCAACACACAUCACAGAGCAUCAUGAUUCAAUAAAACUAUCUAUAUGCGUUUGUCUUCACUCAGGUUUGUUAUGGCUCUCUGUUUGUGGUUUGUUGCAAUAUUCCCAUUAUCAUGUUGGGCUCAGGAGCUUUAUGAAACAGUAGACGGUGAUGUUUUCCAGCCUCAGAGCGCUCUUACGGAUAUGGAGUUUUCCACCGUGAACUCCUACCGUGGACCUGGAAACAACGACCGUCGGCCUAAUAAAGACCUACCCAUCCUUCUGUGGUGGAGCUCCAAUCUCUUCCCUCAUUUCCCAGGAGACACCGAGCGCGUGGACUGCUCCCGCUCAUCCUGCAUGGUGACGCGCAACCGCAAAGUCCAGCUGUAUCGCCGCACGGCGUCCAUCAUCUUCUACGGCACAGACUUCAGGGCGUACGAAGCCCCCCUGCCACGUUUGCCCCAUCAAACCUGGGCGUUGUUCCACGAAGAGUCGCCCAUGAAUAACUAUCUCCUCUCUCACAGCGUCGGCAUCAGGCUAUUCAACUACACGGCCACAUUCAGCAGAGAGUCCGAUUAUCCUUUAACCCUGCAGUGGCUGCCGUCGCUGGAUUAUCUUCUGACCCCGAGCGCGGUGUCUCUGGAGGAAAAGAACCGCUGGAGACGGGCAGGUCUUGCUCCUGUCCUCUACAUGCAGUCUCAUUGUGAUGUGCCUUCGGACAGGGACCGAUACGUGCAGGAGCUGAUGAAAUACAUACAGAUCGACUCGUAUGGGAAAUGUCUUAACAACAGACCUCUGCCUGCACAUCUGGAGGACACCAGCACGGCUACUGGUGAGGACGGACGCUUCAUGAGCUUCGUGGCCCGUUAUAAGUUUCACCUGGCUUUAGAGAACGGCCUGUGUCCGGACUACGUGACCGAGAAGCUCUGGAGACCCAUGCACCAGGGCUGUGUGCCCAUAUACAGAGGAUCGUCUUCUGUGGCCGACUGGCUGCCGAACAAUCGCUCCGUCAUCCUCAUCCACGAUUUCGCCUCUCCUCGAGAUCUGGCCGAACACAUAAAGGCUCUGGAUGGAGACGAUGAAGAGUACUCGCGUUAUUUAGAGUACAAAACGCCUGCAAAGAUCACAAACCUGCGUCUGUUGGAUGGGUUAGAGACGAGAGAGUGGGGCGUUAAUGAUAUGAGUAAACCCAACUACCUGAACGGCUUUGAGUGUUUUGUGUGUGAUCGAGAGAACGAGCGGCUGAACGCAUUAAAGGCACACAAGAAGAAUCCAGAACAGAACCCGAUCCCUCUGCCAAAGAUGGCCAAUGGCUCACACAUGGGAUGUCCACUUCCCACUCCUGGAUACGGAUCUGUGGAGAGCAUCGAUCGUAAUGACAGCUGGCUCCAGAUGUGGCCGCAGGACUACUGGCAGAGUUUGGAUCAGGCCGAGGGUUUAGAGUCGCUCAUCAGACAUAAUGCGUCUGACCCGUCUUUACUAUGGCAGCACAUGCAGAACAUCGCUGGGAGGAGAGCUAGAGGUCAAUGAGGUUACACUUAAGCACCCAGCAGAUACGGGUGUGGACACAGACCUGCCCAUCCAGUCCGGGAGGACUUAACCAACCCACCAAACCUAGGUAGAGGACAAUUGAUGGAUGUGAUGUCACACCAAAUCUAAACCGGCUGAAUUGAGAUCCGGUCCAACGAAACAGAAACUGGUCAGAGUGCCAUCUUUGGGUCUGGUGAAAGCUUUCAGGUCAAGUCUCUAUUAUAACAUAGCUUGUGUGCUUCAGCAAUUUCAGUGUUUACCAUCAUCAUCAUCAUCACUGGAAGUCCUGCAGGUUUGAUUUAGACUGAAUGAAAAGGAAAAUCUUUCUUUAAAGUCUUGCACGUGGCAAACUUGUGAUCAGUGUGAAUGUAAAAAAUAAAAAAGUAUGAAUCUAUAAAGACUUCUUUAUGCCAUCAUAAAAUAAAUAUUCAAGAUUUUAUUUUUUGAUAUCGAUGAAUAGUUCUAGACAAAACGUUUCACUUGACCUCGAAAUCUUUGAAGUAUGAGAGACCAUUGAGACUGAAACAAAACAACUCUCACGCUGAAAAUGUAUUAAAUCGCAAGCUACAAUACAAACAGCUUACAUAAACCUGUGAAUGUUUAGUCAAGGUGAAAAGAUGA